ACGGGUGAGUAAUGCCUGGGGAUCUGCCCAGUCGAGGGGGAUAACUACUGGAAACGGUAACUAAUACCGCAUACGCCCUACGGGGGAAAGCAGGGGACCUUCGGGCCUUGCGCGAUUGGAUGAACCCAGGUGGGAUUAGCUAGUUGGUGAGGUAAUGGCUCACCAAGGCGACCAUCCCUAGCUGGUCUGGGAGGAUGAUCAGCCACACUGGAACUGAGACACGGUCCAGACUCCUACGGGAGGCAACAUUGGGGAAUAUUGCACAAUGGGGGAAACCCUGAUGCAGCCAUGCCGCGUGUGUGAAGAAGGCCUUCGGGUUGUAAAGCACUUUCAGCGAGGAGGAAAGGUUGGUAGCUAAUAACUGCCAGCUGUGACGUUACUCGCACAAGAAGCACCGGCUAACUCCGUGCCAGCAGCCGCGGUAAUACGGAGGGUGCAAGCGUUAAUCGGAAUUACUGGGCGUAAAGCGCACGCAGGCGGUUGGAUAAGUUAGAUGUGAAAGCCCCGGGCUCAACCUGGGAAUUGCAUUUAAAACUGUCCAGCUAGAGUCUUGUAAAGGGGGGUAGAAUUCCGGGUGUAG
rnacentral:rRNA from 1 species